rnacentral:rRNA from 1 species
GCGAUGCCGCGUGAGUGAAGAAGGCCCUUGGGUUGUAAAGCUCUUUCGUCGGGGAAGAAAAUGACUGUACCCGAAUAAGAAGGUCCGGCUAACUUCGUGCCAGCAGCCGCGGUAAUACGAAGGGACCUAGCGUAGUUCGGAAUUACUGGGCUUAAAGAGUUCGUAGGUGGUUGAAAAAGUUGGUGGUGAAAUCCCAGAGCUUAACUCUGGAACUGCCAUCAAAACUUUUCAGCUAGAGUAUGAUAGAGGAAAGCAGAAUUUCUAGUGUAGAGGUGAAAUUCGUAGAUAUUAGAAAGAAUACCAAUUGCGAAGGCAGCUUUCUGGAUCAUUACUGACGCUGAGGAACGAAAGCAUGGGUAGCGAAGAGGAUUAGAUACCCUCGUAGUCCAUGCCGUAAACGAUGUGUGUUAGACGUUGGAAAUUUAUUUUCAGUGUCGCAGUGAAAGCGAUAAACACACCGCCUGGGGAGUACGACCGCAAGGUUAAAACUCAAAUGAAUUGACGGGGACCCGCACAAGUAGUGGAGCAUGUGGUUUAAUUCGAAGAUACGCGCAGAACCUUACCAACACUUGACAUGUUCGUCGCGACUCUAAGAGAUUAGAGUUUUCGGUUCGGCCGGACGAAACACAGGUGCUGCAUGGCUGUCGUCAGCUCGUGUCGUGAGAUGUUGGGUUAAGUCCCGCAACGAGCGCAACCCUCACUUUUAGUUGCCAUCAUUAAGUUGGGCACUCUGAAAGAACUGCCAGUGAUAAGCUGGAGGAAGGUGGGGAUGACGUCNAGUCCUCAUGGCCCUCACGUGUUGGGCUACACACGUGCUACAAUGGUAUCUAC